rnacentral:rRNA from 1 species
AGUCGAGGGGCAGCAUCAUCAAAGCUUGCUUUGAUGGAUGGCGACCGGCGCACGGGUGAGUAACACGUAUCCAACCUGCCGACAACACUGGGAUAGCCUUUCGAAAGAAAGAUUAAUACCGGAUGGCAUAAUUAUUCCGCAUGGGAUAAUUAUUAAAGAAUUUCGGUUGUCGAUGGGGAUGCGUUCCAUUAGGCAGUUGGCGGGGUAACGGCCCACCAAACCUACGAUGGAUAGGGGUUCUGAGAGGAAGGUCCCCCACAUUGGAACUGAGACACGGUCCAAACUCCUACGGGAGGCAGCAGUGAGGAAUAUUGGUCAAUGGACGAGAGUCUGAACCAGCCAAGUAGCGUGAAGGAUGACUGCCCUAUGGGUUGUAAACUUCUUUUAUACGGGAAUAAAGUGAGCCACGUGUGGCUUUUUGUAUGUACCGUAUGAAUAAGGAUCGGCUAACUCCGUGCCAGCAGCCGCGGUAAUACGGAGGAUCCGAGCGUUAUCCGGAUUUAUUGGGUUUAAAGGGAGCGUAGGCGGGUUGUUAAGUCAGUUGUGAAAGUUUGCGGCUCAACCGUAAAAUUGCAGUUGAUACUGGCGACCUUGAGUGCAACAGAGGUAGGCGGAAUUCGUGGUGUAGCGGUGAAAUGCUUAGAUAUCACGAAGAACUCCGAUUGCGAAAGGCAGCUUACUGGAUUGUAACUGACGCUGAUGCUCGAAAG